GAUGAAGAACGUAGCGAAAUGCGAUAAGUAAUGUGAAUUGCAGAAUUCAGUGAAUCAUCGAAUCUUUGAACGCGCAUUGCGCCCUCUGGUAUUCCGGGGGGCAUGCCUGUUCGAGCGUCAUUAUAACCACUCAAGCUCUCGCUUGGUAUUGGGGUUCGCGGUUCCGCGGCCCCUAAAAUCAGUGGCGGUGCCUGUCGGCUCUACGCGUAGUAAUACUCCUCGCGUCUGGGUCCGGUAGGUCUACUUGCCAGCAACCCCCAAUUUUUACAGGUUGACCUCGGAUCAGGUAGGGAUACCCGCUGAACUUAAGCAUAUCAAUAAGCGGAGGA
rnacentral:misc_RNA from 1 species